ncrna:unclassified sequences DTF3800-I RNA
UUGUGGUGCAGACGUUCAACGGGCUGCGUACUUAAGAUGUUUGAGUGUGAGCUUAAGCGACUUGUAAAGUCGCCAACUCUUAAGGGGAAAGGGGUUACAGAAGUAGCCCCUUUCUUUUUCUGU